CAAACUAUGCUUCACAGAAUCUUUUCUAUAUUAAGUUUUCCACAUGUUGAUAUAAAGUUAAUCACAUCAAGGCGGUGGGUAUUAAAAAACAGGUUGCUUCCUGAUCAUAAAGAUGUGCUUCAGCCUCCUUUGUGAGGUUGGUUGCUUGAUGACCGCUUGGAAGGCAUUUUGCCCUCUUAUGAAGGGAAUGUAUCAUAAGCCGU
rnacentral:snoRNA from 1 species